GGGCAACGUGGUAGUCAACAUUCCAAGUCUACACAAAGAUUAAAUAAAAACAGGCUUUAAGGAAAUGUUAACCUGUAACUUCUACCCUACAAUAGAAUGGUUUCCUGUCACCUUUUUCUCCUGACUGAUGGCUCUAUAAGUGUGAAGAAAAUGACAGAAAAUGAGAGACUGUGGUUCAGGACAUAUGGCAGCCUUCUCUCUUAGUGUAUCGUCCACAUGGAGGUUGGGUUGAGAAAUACACGUAAAUGUACUUUGGAACAGUUCAGCCUACUCUUGGCUUGGAAGGAAGCUAUUAGAUCUGUCAUAAUUACUGCAUCAAGCAAGAUUUUCAUAAAAUAAAAAGGGAAAGGAUUAAUGCUGUGCCAUUAUAUGGCAUUUGCAGGCUUAUCAUGAUG
rnacentral:lncRNA from 1 species